UACGUAGGGGGCUAGCGUUGUCCGGAAUCAUUGGGCGUAAAGCGCGCGUAGGCGGUCAGGUAAGUCCGGUGUGAAAGUCAAAGGCUCAACCUUUGAAUGCCGCUGGAAACUGCCUGACUUGAGUCCGGUAGGGGCGAGUGGAAUUCCUGGUGUAGCGGUGAAAUGCGCAGAUAUCAGGAAGAACACCAAUGGCGAAGGCAGCUCUCUGGGACGGUACUGACGCUGAGACGCGAAAGCGUGGGGAGCGAACAGG
rnacentral:rRNA from 1 species